rnacentral:rRNA from 1 species
CCUACGGGUGGCAGCAGUGAGGAAUAUUGGUCAAUGGACGAGAGUCUGAACCAGCCAAGCAGCGUGAAGGAUGACUGUCCUAUGGGUUGUACACUUCUUUUAUAUGGGAAUAAAACAUGGUAUGCCUACCCUCUUGUGUGUACCAUAUGAAUAAGGAUCGGCUCACUCCGUGCCAGCAGCCGCGGUCAUACGGGGGAUCCGCGCGUUCUCCGGAUUUCUUGGGUUUAGAGGGAGCGUAGGCGGGUUGGUAAGUCAGUUGUGAAAGUUUGCGGCUCAACCGGCAGGUUGCAGGUGAAACUGGCAGUCUUGAGUACGGUAGAGGUUGGCGGAAUUCGUGGUGGAGCGGUGAAAUGCUUAGAUAUCACGAAGAACUCCGAUUGCGAAGGCAGCUCACUGGACUGAAACUGACACUGAUGCACGAAAGUGUGGGUAUCAAACAGGAUUAGAUACCCCAGUAGUC